UACGUAGGGGGCAAGCGUUGUCCGGAUUUACUGGGCGUAAAGAGCGUGUAGGCGGCCACGCAGGUCCGUUGUGAAAACUGGAGGCUCAACCUUCAGACGUCGACGGAAACCGUAUGGCUAGAGUCCGGGAGAGGUGAGUGGAACUGCGAGUGUAGAGGUGAAAUUCGUAGAUAUUCGCAAGAACACCAGUGGCGAAGGCGGCUCACUGGCCCGGUACUGACGCUGAGGUGCGAAAGCGUGGGGAGCAAACAGG
rnacentral:rRNA from 1 species